rnacentral:rRNA from 1 species
CGUAGGGUGCAGGCGUUAAUCGGAAUUACUGGGCGUAAAGCGUGCGCAGGCGGUUUCUUAAGUCAGAUGUGGAAGCCCCGGGCUUAACCUGGGAACUGCGUUUGAAACUGGGAGACUUGAGUGUGGCAGAGGGGGGUGGAAUUCCACGUGUAGCAGUGAAAUGCGUAGAUAUGUGGAGGAACACCGAUGGCGAAGGCAGCCCCCUGGGUUAACACUGACGCUCAUGCACGAAAGCGUGGGGAGCAAACAGGAUUAGAUACCCUGGUAGUCCACGCCCUAAACUAUGUCAACUGGUUGUCGGGGGAUUAACUCCCUUGGUAACGAAGCUAACGCGUGAAGUUGACCGCCUGGGGAGUACGGCCGCAAGGUUA